rnacentral:rRNA from 1 species
UAGGGAAUCUUCGGCAAUGGGGGCAACCCUGACCGAGCAACGCCGCGUGAGUGAAGAAGGUUUUCGGAUCGUAAAGCUCUGUUGUAAGAGAAGAACGUGUGUGAGAGUGGAAAGUUCACACAGUGACGGUAACUUACCAGAAAGGGACGGCUAACUACGUGCCAGCAGCCGCGGUAAUACGUAGGUCCCGAGCGUUGUCCGGAUUUAUUGGGCGUAAAGCGAGCGCAGGCGGUUUAAUAAGUCUGAAGUUAAAGGCAGUGGCUUAACCAUUGUUCGCUUUGGAAACUGUUAAACUUGAGUGCAGAAGGGGAGAGUGGAAUUCCAUGUGUAGCGGUGAAAUGCGUAGAUAUAUGGAGGAACACCGGUGGCGAAAGCGGCUCUCUGUCUGUAACUGACGCUGAGGCUCGAAAGCGUGGGGAGCAAACAGG